AGUGGCGGACGGGUGAGUAACGCGUGAGAAUCUGCCUUGGGGUCGGGGACAACCACUGGAAACGGUGGCUAAUACCGGAUAAGCCGAUUGGUGAAAGAUUUAUUGCCCGAAGAGGAGCUCGCGUCUGAUUAGCUAGUUGGUGAGGUAAGAGCUCACCAAGGCAGCGAUCAGUAGCUGGUCUGAGAGGACGAUCAGCCACACUGGGACUGAGACACGGCCCAGACUCCUACGGGAGGCAGCAGUGGUGAAUUUUCCGCAAUGGGCGAAAGCCUGACGGAGCAAGACCGCGUGAGGGAGGAAGGCUCUUGGGUUGUAAACCUCUUUUCUCAGGGAAGAAGCUCUGACGGUACCUGAGGAAUCAGCCUCGGCUAACUCCGUGCCAGCAGCCGCGGUAAUACGGAGGAGGCAAGCGUUAUCCGGAAUUAUUGGGCGUAAAGCGUCCGCAGGUGGCGAUUCAAGUCUGCUGUCAAAGCACGGGGCUUAACUCCGUAAAGGCAGUGGAAACUGAAUAGCUAGAGUGCCGUAGGGGUAGAGGGAAUUCCCGGUGUAGCGGUGAAAUGCGUAGAGAUCGGGAAGAACAUCGGUGGCGAAAGCGCUCUACUGGACGGCAACUGACACUCAGGGACGAAAGCUAGGGGAGCGAAUGGGAUUAGAUACCCC
rnacentral:rRNA from 1 species